UCAGGCUACCAUAACAAAACAGCACAGGCUGGGUAACUUAAACAACAGACAUUUAUCUUUCCACAGUUCUGAAGACUGAAGUCCAAGAUCAAGGUGCCAGCAGAAUUGGUGUCUGCCUAUGGACCACUGGAAGGCCCGGCCAGGGGUGUGGUCAUCAGGACUUCCCAAAAGCACAUCUCCUUCCUCUGUGGCUUGACUGUGUGCCUCUCCUCUCGAGCUGCAACUGUACCAUGAGUCUCCCUUCCAGAUCAAAAGGAAGAUCCCGACCGCAGUCCUUUGGAAUAAGAUUUGCUAGUAUUCAAUGUUCUUUCUUGUGUCUCAACUCAUAUCCAUAUUUUCUUCUCAGAAUUCCAUAGGUUUAGCCCUUUGGGGGUUUUUACUUUUUUCUUCUUAUUUUUUAUACUGCCUGUUCCUACUUUAUGCUGUGUUUUACCCAUAUUUAUGUCAUUUUAAUCAGUUCCAUAAGACUGUGUUUGAACUCCCCACCUCCACUUGCUUUUGUUUUGGGUGAUGACUGUGCUGUCCACCUCUGCCACUUGUUUCAGGCCCUACUACUUUUUCCCUCCAAUGUUCCUUCUUUUGUGUCUGCCAUCUAUUAUUGCUGAAUACGUUAUUGUCGUUUUUGUCUUCUUAUUUUAUUUUCUCCUCUUCUUCCUUCAGUGGAUGUCUUGAGAUGUUCUUGCUUCUUAUGUUCCAUGUUUGCUGACAUAGGGCAAAACUAAGAAUCUGCGACAAGACAAGCUGCUUUUUCCUCUAUCAAAGCUGCCUUCAUCGGGCAGCUGUCCUUCAUUCUCAAUUACUUUAUCUACUCUUUUUUGCCUUUUUCACAUCCAACCUGUAAUCUAUAUUUUCCUUUCUUCAGCUAUAUCUUAAACUGUUAAAAUAGAGCCUGACAUGUAGUACACAUUCAGUAAAUAUCUGUUGAAUAAAAGAAAACAAUAAAUGAAUGAAU
rnacentral:lncRNA from 10 species